rnacentral:rRNA from 1 species
CUUUCCGUAGGUGAACCUGCGGAAGGAUCAUUG